rnacentral:lncRNA from 10 species
CAGCCACCAGCACGAUCUGGCUUUAGAACGUUCCCACUACCCCAGAAAGGUCUCUCGUGCCCCUGAGCAAUCAAUUUCCAAUCCCUUCCCCAGACCCUGACACAGGAAUCCACUUGCUAUCUCUAGAGACUUCUCUAUUCUGAACAUUUCAGAGACCCAAACUCUGCCAAGGUUCCACACUGGCUGUGACUGGAGCAGAUGUCUCCACCUUCUGGAUACGAGUGUCCUCAUCUGUAAGAUUUUCCUUGUGCUAA